rnacentral:rRNA from 1 species
GGUCAAGUUAUUAAGGGUGCAGGGCGGAUGCCUUGGCACUAGGAGCCGAUGAAGGACGUGAUAAGCUGCGAUAAGCUUCGGGGAGUUGCACGUAAACUUUGAUCCGAAGAUUUCCGAAUGAGGAAACUCACUUAGAGUAAUGUCUAAGUAUCAUUAAGUGAAUACAUAGCUUAAUGAGGGGAACUCAGGGAACUGAAACAUCUAAGUACCUGAAGGAAGAGAAAGAAAUUCGAUUCCGUAAGUAGCGGCGAGCGAACGCGGAUUAGCCCAAACCAAUAAAGUUUUCUUUAUUGGGGUUGCGGACAUAUCAUAACGAAGAG